CAGUCGCCGCGGGAAUACGUAGGUCCCGAGCGUUGUCCGGAUUUAUUGGGCGUAAAGCGAGUGCAGGCGGUUAGAUAAGUCUGAAGUUAAAAGCUGUGGCUUAACCAUAGUACGCUUUGGAAACUGUUUAACUUGAGUGCAAGAGGGGAGAGUGGAAUUCCGUGUGUAGCGGUGAAAUGCGUAGAUAUAUGGAGGAACGCCGGUGGCGAAAGCGGCUCUCUGGCUUGUAACUGACGCUGAGGCUCGAAAGCGUGGGGAGCAAACCGGAUUAGAUACCCCUGUAGUCCCUGUCUCUUAUAAA
rnacentral:rRNA from 1 species